GAUGAAGAACGUAGCGAAAUGCGAUAAGUAAUGUGAAUUGCAGAAUUCAGUGAAUCAUCGAAUCUUUGAACGCACAUUGCGCCCUUUGGUAUUCCAAAGGGCAUGCCUGUUCGAGCGUCAUUUGUACCCUCAAGCUUUGCUUGGUGUUGGGCGUCUUGUCUCUAGCUUUGCUGGAGACUCGCCUUAAAGUAAUUGGCAGCCGGCCUACUGGUUUCGGAGCGCAGCACAAGUCGCACUCUCUAUCAGCAAAGGUCUAGCAUCCAUUAAGCCUUUUUUUCAACUUUUGACCUCGGAUCAGGUAGGGAUACCCGCUGAACUUAAGCAUAUCAAUAAGCGGAGGA
rnacentral:misc_RNA from 1 species